rnacentral:rRNA from 1 species
AAUGCGGAACUCAUCAGAGGCCUCGCAAUUGGAAUGAGCGCACUUUAAAUCGUUCGACGAGGAUCUAUUGGAGGGCAAGUCUGGUGCCAGCAGCCGCGGUAAUUCCAGCUCCAAUAGCGUAUAUUAAAGUUGUUGCAGUUAAAAAGCUCGUAGUUGGAUCUGGGGUUCGGGUCGGCGGUUUGCCGCUUCGGCGGCUACUGCCGUGCUCGACUCUUACUAGCCGGUGCGUCUUGCGGUGCUCUUCAUCGAGUGCCGUAGGAGCCUGGCAUGUUUACUUUGAAAAAAAUUAGAGUGCUCAAAGCAGGCGAUUCCGCCUGAAUAGUGUUGCAUGGAAUAAUGGAAUAGGACCUCGGUUCUAUUUUGUUGGUUUUCGGAACUUGAGGUAAUGAUUAAGAGGGACGGUCGGGGGCAUUCGUAUUUCGGUGUUAGAGGUGAAAUUCUUGGAUCGCUGAAAGACGGACAAAUGCGAAAGCAUCUGCCAAGAACGUCUCCAUUAAUCAAGAACGAAAGUCAGAGGUUCGAAGACGAUCAGACACCGUCCUAGUUCUGACCAUAAACGAUGCCAACUAGCGAUCCGCAGUGGUUGCUAUAAACGGACUCUGCGAGCAGCUUCCGGGAAACCAAAGUGUUUGGGUUCCGGGGGAAGUAUGGUUGCAAAGCUGAAACUUAAAGGAAUUGACGGAAGGGCACCACCAGGAGUGGAGCCUGCGGCUUAAUUUGACCCAACACGGGGAAACUCACCCGGUCCGGACACUGUAAGGAUUGACAGAUCGAGAGCUCUUUCUUGAUUCGGUGGAUGGUGGUGCAUGGCCGUUCUUAGUUGGUGGAGUGAUUUGUCUGGUUAAUUCCGAUAACGAACGAGACUCUAGCCUGCUAACUAGUUGCGCCGUGUUCAUACGCGGCUGUAGACUUCUUAGAGGGACAGGUGGCGUUUAGCCACACGAAAUUGAGCAAUAACAGGUCUGUGAUGCCCUUAGAUGUCCGGGGCCGCACGCGCGCUACACUGAAGGAGUCAGCGUGUGCUAUCCGGGCUCGGAAGAGUUCGGUAACCCGUUGAAACUCCUUCGUGCUUGUGAUUGUGGCUUGUAAUUAUCGCGCAUGAACGAGGAAUUCCCAGUAAGUGCAAGUCAUCAGCUUGCGCUGACUACGUCCCUGCCCUUUGUACACACCGCCCGUCGCUACUACCGAUUGAAUGGUUUAGCGAGGUACUCGGAUUGGUCUCGAUCUUGUACGAAAGUGCGGGAUCUGUGGCCGAGAAGAAGGCCAAACUUGAUCAUUUAGAGGAAGUAAA